rnacentral:rRNA from 1 species
AAAGCAGGGAUAACCCCAUAAGACGAGAAGACCCUGUGGAACUUUAAAAACAGCAACCACCCCAAUAUACAUCCACACCCAACCCGGGCGCACUUACUACAUAAGGCACUGGUUUGCAUUUUUUCGGUUGGGGCAACCUUGGAGCAAAAAAGAACCUCCAAAAAUGGGACCAUCCAUCCAAACUAAGAGCGACGCCUCGAAGUGCAAAAAGCACCCWGAUCCAAUAUAAUUGAUCAAUGGACCAAGCUACCCCAGGGAUAACAGCGCAAUCUCCUCCAAGAGUCCAUAUCGACGGGGAGGUUUACGACCUCGAUGUUGGAUCAGGACAUCCUAGUGGUGCAGCAGCUACUAAGGGUUCGUUUGUUCAACGAUUAACAGUCCUACGUGAUCUGAGUUCAGACCGGAGCAAUCCAGGUCGGUUUCCAUCUAUGAUGAACUCUUCCCCGUACGAAAGGAUAGGAAAAGUGAGGCCAAUACCACAGGCAAGCCUUCGCCUUAAGUAAUGAAACCAACUCAACUACGAAAGGCUAUCCCACCCCACGUCCAAGAAAAGG